UUUUUUUUUUUUUUUUUUUUUUUUUUUUUUUUUUUAAUGUAGGCAGUGAGGCCGGUGGUUUUGUGUUGACAACAACAAAAGUGUCCUGUGACUCUGGGUGUGCUGAAAGUGCGGGCGCGAAUGGAAUGUCCCGCGAGCUGGCGCAGAGAGGAGGCAGCUGCAGCGGGGUCCCCCUGCUGCCAGGCCAGGGUUUGAUCCUAGGAUGGAGGAAGAAAUGGACUGACCCAGGAAGCUGAAACUGGUUGGACCCAUGAGUCACGAAUAAGGGCAGCUGUCGGUUGUAACCAACACCUCUUUGAUUAUGGUCUAGUCUAUGGACUAGUCUCACACUAAGUAGACUAGGGACUGUGACUGGACUUGUAAAUGGACACUUGUCCACAUGAACGAGAGCCAGAAUAGCUUUCUAACCAUUAUAUGGAGACUGUUUUCAGUUAAAGUCAUUGAGCCUGGUACUUACCGUCAGUGCUUGACAUUCAAGACAUUCUUGAUUCUUAUUUUUAUAAAUCAAGUUCUGAGAAGUUAAAAAAAAACCUGAAUGAAAUAGUGUCACAAUGUAAAGAAAACCGUAUAGAUGUUACCCUGUAGUGAGUUCUCUUAAUUUUAUUAUGGUAUAAAAUGGAACAGCAGGUGUUCACAGGUACUAAGUGGGUUGUGUGCCAAUAUCACCAAAGCUUUCAGUUCCAACCAAGUUAGUUGGCUUUUGGCUACUUUUUUUUUCCUAUUAAAAACUUGUUACAAGAAAUGGACUCUGAAUUCACCAAAGACUGGUGCUGUACUCACAAAAAUCAUUUGGCCAUGUUAGAAGACACGUUUUGGGAAGAAGAAAUCUGGGAAUAUAAAUCUAAAAGAAAGCCCAAACCCGUACAUCCAAAUAAUUGUUCUGAAAAUAUUUCAGAAUCUGUUGAAAAAUCAACAGAUGGAAAACACCAGUCAAAAGGAAAUGAAAAAAGGACUUCAGAAAAUCCAGGCAAGACGAAGGACCACAAAGUGUGCCUUGCAGAAACAGACAGUCAGAUUUCUGCAGGUUCCAGUCAGAGUUCGAGCUGUAGAGAUGAGAGUCAGCAGUCUCAAAACAAAGAGACAACACCGAAAAAGCAACAUAGAACUCGCAGAGGGAAGCAAGUGACCCCGAAGGUGCGCCCUGUUUAUGAUGGAUACUGCCCAAGCUGCCAGAUGCCCUUCUCCUCAUUGCUGGGUCAGACGCCCCAGUGGCAUGUGUUUGAGUGUUUGGAUUCUCCACCUAUCUCUGACACAGAAUGUCCCGAGGGUUUGCUAUGUACUUCCACAAUUCCUUCCCAUUAUAAGAAAUACACUCACAUCCUGCUCGCUCAAAGUCGAGAUAGCAAGGAGCCUCUGGGCAGCCCCUCGGAUGCAUUGGCUGGGCUGUUUGCUGCAGCAGCGCCAGGUUCUCCUUGUAACCUUGAGGAAAGACGCUCUAUGACUCUGAAAACUGAGAACUUAAGAAAAGUCUCAGAUCACUCUUUGUUGAUGAUGCAGUAUCUAGAAACAUCUCAGCCUUCAGCUGAAAUCAACAGGAAGAAUGUCUCUUCCCCAUGUUCUCAAACAUCGCCAGUUCCACAGUGUGCAGAGUUCGUCAAGAGAGACCAGCUGGUGGGAGGUGGAUCGCCUCUUGCUGAGGUUGCAUUAAACAGCCAAAGCAAGUCAGGGAGUAUGGGUUUGCCAUUGCCAGAAAAUGACACUGACAGCUGUGAGAUCUCUUAUUCUCCGCUGCACAGUGAUGAAGAGACUUACGACAUAGACCAAGAGCUGGAUGAUUCACAGCAGGAACUAUUUUUUACCCAAAGCUCUAAAGACAGCAGCCUAGAAGAAGAUGGCUCUGCCAUAUUUGAAAACCUUCAUGGUCCCUCCCCAAAGGAAGCAGAGGGGAUCCGGCCCACAGCGAAGAGCCUGGUUGCCCAGGCUAGGUGUAGUGCACCGAGUGAAGGCAGUACACUAAGUGACUCUUUUCUGCUUCUCUUCUACACCUCGAACAGGCUUUCCCAAGAAGACCUACCACACACAGAUGCGGCCUUCCACUUGCUUUCACCUGCCUUGGCAGUGGGAGGUGCUGCUUCUAAUUAUCAGACCAGUAAGGCCAAGCUCGACGAGCCAGAAAAAUUCCUCUCACUUGCAUCAAGUCAUCAGCAACAGAAAAUUGAAACAUCAGCUGUUGGCAAUCAGACUUCUCUGCCGUUACUUACAAGAGCCAGGUCAAAGCCACUUGAAAAGGAGGGAGGCAAGUGUCUGCCUUUGCAUCCAACCCAAAGUCAGACCAGAGGAUCACCGCGCAAGGGCUUGGGUGCUCCAGGGGCUAACUGUGCCUGCAGGAAUGCACAGAAGCGCUCUAGCAUGCCUCUUGACAAGCCCUUGGGCACAUCGCCUUCCAGUCCCAAGUGCAGCCCGAGCCAACCGUCUAAGAAAGUAAUGAAGCAAAUGGAUAUAGGCGUGUUUUUUGGACUACCACCCAAAAGACAAGAGACGUCACUGAGGGAAAGCGCAUCAGAAGGGCCCAAUGUCAGUCCAGUUGUGAGUCCCAACCAAAAGAGGCCCCGGUUGUGCAAGAGGAAAGCCCAGAGCUCUCUGAGUGACUUAGAGUUUGAUGCAAAGAAUUUAAAUGAGAGUCAGCACUCUGUGGGACUGUCUGGAGAGAAGCGGCAACAUCGAAGAAAGAGACAUAAAACGUCAAAUUCACCACGGGAAGGACCAUGCCAGAGAAGGUCAGGUCACCUCAUGAACAACCCAGAGUUGGGACCAGUCAUCCUCAGCAAAGGCAAAGCCUUCGUGAGACGGACUCGUGGCAGGACGCAGAGAGGGAACAUGAACAUUUCAGAGUCCUCUGGUGCAGGGGAAGUGAGAAGAACAUGUCCGUUCUAUAAGAGAAUCCCCGGGACUGGCUUCACUGUGGAUGCUUUUCAGUACGGUGAGAUCGAAGGCUGCACCGCCUACUUCCUCACACAUUUCCAUUCUGAUCAUUACGCCGGGUUGUCCAAGGACUUCACAAGGCCAGUCUAUUGCAGCGAGAUAACAGGCAAUCUGUUGAAGAAGAAGCUUCGAGUGCAAGAGCAAUACAUCCGUCAGUUGCCGAUGGACACCGAGUGUGUCGUGGACAGCGUCAAGGUGGUUUUGCUGGAUGCCAAUCACUGUCCAGGUGCUACCAUGAUCCUUUUCCAGCUUCCCAACGGUGCUGUCAUACUGCACACCGGAGACUUCCGAGCGGACCCCAGCAUGGAACGCUCUCGCCUGGCGGGCCGCAAAGUCCACACACUGUUCCUGGAUACCACUAAGAACCACGUUUCCUUGUCACAGAUACUGCAGCCCAGAAUAUACCUUCCCGUCACAGCAGGAGGUUAUCCAGUUUGCCAUCAACACUGCCUUUGAGGCUGUAACUCUAAACCCACGUGCCCUUGUUGUCUGUGGCACUUACUGCAUCGGAAAGGAGAAAGUCUUCCUAGCCAUUGCCGAUGUUUUAGGUUCAAAGGUGGGCAUGUCCCAAGAAAAGUAUAAAACUUUGCAGUGCCUCAAUAUACCAGAAGUCAGUUCCCUCAUAACCACAGACAUGUGCGACUCUUUGGUUCACCUCCUCCCAAUGAUGCAAAUUAAUUUUAAGGGUUUGCAGAGCCAUUUGAAGAAGUGUGGUGGGAAAUACGAUCAGAUUUUGGCGUUCCGACCCACAGGAUGGACACACUCUAACAACAUAACUAGCACAGCGGAUAUUAUUCCCCAGACAAGAGGAAAUAUAUCGAUAUAUGGGAUUCCCUACAGUGAACACAGCAGCUACUUAGAAAUGAAGCGUUUUGUCCAGUGGCUGAAGCCACAGAAAAUCAUCCCCACUGUCAAUGUCGGCAGCUUUCGGUCUAGGAACACGAUGGAGAAAUACUUUAAGGAGUGGAGACUGGAAGCCGGAUACUGAUGCUGUCACAGACGUCUGCUGAGUUCCGUACAGCAGGCGGCGAUAAUGAAAUCUAAAUUGAUGUGAGGUACGGGCCAUGAGAAGAACAGCCUCAGGACUGCGCUCCUCCCUCGCUUUGAACAGUGAUACACCCAAGGUGCUGGGUGCCUUCAGACCCCCCAGUGACCACUGAGAGGAGCUCUUCCCAGUCCCUUUCACUCUGAAUCUCGUCCCCAUGGGUUAACGGUCAUCUGCGGCAACCAUGGAGACCAGACACCAAGCAUUAUCUAUGUAGUAAUGAAACAAACCUUUUAUAUGAUAUGUAUUCUUAAAUAAAAUUUAAUAUAGAACUUACCAGAGCA